rnacentral:rRNA from 1 species
AGCGAACGCUGGCGGCAGGCUUAACACAUGCAAGUCGAGCGGGCACUUUCGGGUGUCAGCGGCAGACGGGUGAGUAACGCGUGGGAACGUACCCUUCGGUCUGGGAUAACCCAGGGAAACUUGGGCUAAUACCGGAUACGUGCGAGAGCAGAAAGGUUUAUCUGCCGGAGGAUCGGCCCGCGUCUGAUUAGCUAGUUGGUGGGGUAAUGGCCUACCAAGGCGACGAUCAGUAGCUGGUCUGAGAGGAUGAUCAGCCACACUGGGACUGAGACACGGCCCAGACUCCUACGGGAGGCAGCAGUGGGGAACCUUGCGCAAUGGGCGAAAGCCUGAUGCAGCCAUGCCGCGUGAAUGAUGAAGGUCUUAGGAUUGUAAAAUUCUUUCACCGGGGACGAUAAUGACGGUACCCGGAGAAGGAGCCCCGGCUAACUUCGUGCCAGCCGCCGCAGUAAGAC